rnacentral:rRNA from 1 species
AUGCAAGUCGAGCGGAUGACGGGGGCUUGCUCCUUGAUUCAGCGGCGGACGGGUGAGUAAUGCCUAGGAAUCUGCCUGGUAGUGGGGGACAACGUUUCGAAAGGAACGCUAAUACCGCAUACGUCCUACGGGAGAAAGCAGGGGACCUUCGGGCCUUGCGCUAUCAGAUGAGCCUAGGUCGGAUUAGCUAGUUGGUGGGGUAAUGGCUCACCAAGGCGACGAUCCGUAACUGGUCUGAGAGGAUGAUCAGUCACACUGGAACUGAGACACGGUCCAGACUCCUACGGGAGGCAGCAGUGGGGAAUAUUGGACAAUGGGCGAAAGCCUGAUCCAGCCAUGCCGCGUGUGUGAAGAAGGUCUUCGGAUUGUAAAGCACUUUAAGUUGGGAGGAA